rfam:Heligmosomoides polygyrus genome assembly, scaffold: HPBE_scaffold0004505
GCGCCGGUGGUGUAAGGCGAACAUCGCUGCCCGGAAAGCAGAAGAUGCGGGUCCGAGUCCCGCCUGGCGCA